rnacentral:rRNA from 1 species
AACGAACGCUGGCGGCAGGCCUAACACAUGCAAGUCGAGCGAGACCUUCGGGUCUAGCGGCGGACGGGUGAGUAACGCGUGGGAACGUGCCCUUUGGUACGGAAUAGCCCCGGGAAACUGGGAGUAAUACCGGAUGUGCCCUUUGGGGGAAAGAUUUAUCGGCAAAGGAUCGGCCCGCGUUGGAUUAGGUAGUUGGUGGGGUAAUGGCCUACCAAGCCGACGAUCCAUAGCUGGUUUGAGAGGAUGAUCAGCCACACUGGGACUGAGACACGGCCCAGACUCCUACGGGAGGCAGCAGUGGGGAAUCUUAGACAAUGGGGGAAACCCUGAUCUAGCCAUGCCGCGUGAUCGAUGAAGGCCUUAGGGUUGUAAAGAUCUUUCAGAUGGGAAGAUAAUGACGGUACCAUCAGAAGAAGCCCCGGCUAACUCCGUG